rnacentral:rRNA from 1 species
AGAGUUUGAUUAUGGCUCAGGAUGAACGCUAGCUACAGGCUUAACACAUGCAAGUCGAGGGGCAGCAUGAAGUUUGCUUGCAAACUUUGAUGGCGACCGGCGCACGGGUGAGUAACGCGUAUCCAACUUCCCCUUAGUAGAGGAUAGCCCGGCGAAAGUCGGAUUAAUACUCUAUGUUGUAUUUUUGAGGACAUCUGACGAAUACCAAAGAUUCAUCGCUAAGGGAUGGGGAUGCGUCUGAUUAGCUUGUUGGUGGGUAACGGCCUACCAAGUCGACGAUCAGUAGCCGGACUGAGAGGUUGAACGGCCACAUUGGGACUGAGAUACGGCCCAGACUCCUACGGGAGGCAGCAGUGGGGAAUAUUGGGCAAUAGGGGGGAAACCCUGACCCAGCAACGCCGCGUGAAGGAAGAAGGCUUUCGGGUUGUAAACUUCUUUUACCAGGGACGAAGGACGUGACGGUACCUGGAGAAAAAGCCACGGCUAACUACGUGCCAGCAGCUGC